rnacentral:lncRNA from 1 species
GUACCCACUAAAAAGAAAAAGACUCAUCAAUUUAACUUGUUCUACAACCUAAUUUUUUUUCAAACUAAAAAUAAGUUAAAUACUAACAUUCAAAAACCGGGAACAACCUCCUUCUUCCGCCGCAUCUCAAUAACUUUCCGGUGAUGAUUUGAAUGCAAUUCACUGGAAAACGUAGGGCUACAAGCGGGUCUAUAUUCCGGUAACAACCGACCCGAUUUAUAACGAACCCCACAAGCAUUACAAAGUGUUUUCGGCCCACCUGGUCCGGUUCGCCAUUGAGGAGUCUUCUGCACUCCACAAUGACUACACCGCCGCGGCACACCUCUUGCUUCUCCGUCCGGUGAAACCAUCCUCUUCGCUUUUUUCUCCGCUGGCUUUGAACAUUCCUCGAGGUUUGAGGAAGAAAGUGUAGCUGAGCUUGAGGUUGAAGAUGAAUUGGCUAGUGAAAUUGGCCAUACACGAAUACCGGUUCGUGUUCUCUUGCUUCUUGCUUUUGCCGGUACCGGAGUUUUGAAACAUGGUGUAGAAAACGUGGGGUUUGGUUCAUGAGCUUUUUGUUGAAGUUGGAGAUUUUCUGUUUUGGGAAAUUCUGAGAAGGAAUCUUCAACAAAAUAUGAUAACCAUUCUAAAUCAGCAGCUUCUUCUACCUACAAAAAUUGCAACUUUGGUUAAAUUCUUCAAAAACAACAACCUUAAAAAAAAACAAUCUUAAC